rnacentral:rRNA from 1 species
GGUAGCUUGCUACCUGCCGGCGAGUGGCGAACGGGUGAGUAAUACAUCGGAACGUGCCCUGUAGUGGGGGAUAACUAGUCGAAAGACUAGCUAAUACCGCAUACGACCUGAGGGUGAAAGUGGGGGACCGCAAGGCCUCAUGCUAUAGGAGCGGCCGAUGUCUGAUUAGCUAGUUGGUGGGGUAAAGGCCCACCAAGGCGACGAUCAGUAGCUGGUCUGAGAGGACGAUCAGCCACACUGGGACUGAGACACGGCCCAGACUCCUACGGGAGGCAGCAGUGGG